rnacentral:rRNA from 1 species
ACAUGCAAGUCGAACGAGAAAGUCUUUAGCUUGCUAGAGCGAGUACAGUGGCGCGACGGGUGAGUAACGCGUGGGUAAUCUGCCCUUGAAUUUGGGAUAACACUUCGAAAGGAGUGCUAAUACCGGAUAACAUCUUUUUUGUUGCGGCAAGAAAGAUCAAAGAUAGCCUCUUCAUGAAAGCUAUUGUUUGAGGAUGAGCCCGCGUACCAUUAGCUUGUUGGUGGGGUAAUGGCCUACCAAGGCGACGAUGGUUAGCUGGUCUGAGAGGAUGAUCAGCCACACUGGAACUGGAACACGGUCCAGACUCCUACGGGAGGCAGCAGUGAGGAAUUUUGCGCAAUGGGCGAAAGCCUGACGCAGCAACGCCGCGUGAGUGAUGAAGGAUUUCGGUUCGUAAAGCUCUGUCAAGUGGGAAGAACCUAUAUAGUGUUAAUAGCAUUAUGUACUGACGGUACCACUGAAGGAAGCACCGGCUAACUCCGUG